ensembl:lincRNA pluripotency associated transcript 4
GAUCGCCAUGAUGGGGAAGAAGGAAGAGGAGACCUAAAGGCCAGCUGACAUGUGAGAAUCAGGGAAAGUGGCCACACGGGCCACUUCCACAGCUGUGUUUGAGCAGGACUUUGGGUCCCUAACCUGUAACUCAGCACUCAGUCCAUCAUGGGCUAUGCUAGUCUCUGUGACUUCUCCAGGGCAGGAAAGUGACAGGUUUCUGUGCAAGGGAGCCCGAGGUGCCUGGUUCAGGAUGGAGAGGUCACUUGAAAGGCCUCAAAAGCAAGCACAGUUAGAGGACAUCAGCGAUGUUAAAACCCCACGAGGGUCAACAGUAGCCCAGGCAAAAUAAAGGAGCCUGAAGUGGAAAAACAGAAAUGGAACAAGGCGUUUGUUCUGGAGCACAUGAGAUUGUCCUUCUAAGACAUUUCCAGAAGUAUUCAAAGGAAGAUUUAAUGGGAAAUCAUUAUGCAAAAGAGUCAGUAAUAUAUUUUAGUUUCAAAAAGUACGGAGCAUGACGCCUGUCAAUUAUACCUUCUGCAAAGGUGAGUGGCGGUUGUCCUUGCUGUUCCAAAAUGCAAAGAGAAACAAACAAACAAACAAACAAACAAACAAACAAACAAACAAACCAGCUACUCCUAUUCCACACUCCAAACACCAAGCAGAAAUGCUUCUGGGAAUUAGCAAUUGUGGACAAACUGAGCUUCAUUCUUUAUGAAAAUGAAAACACUUCUUCUUUCUGUGCACUAGGAAAUUGUUCUGCCUCUGAGCUGCAAAACCAGCUCCAAACUUGAAAAUUUUGUGCAUCAAAGGAAAAAGGCAACCUACAGGAUGGGGGAGAAUAUUUGCAGGACACACAUCUGGGAAGGAAUACAUAUUUAGACUGAAUGAAAUGAGUAAGAGGAGGGAUAGGGAGUUCGUGUUCAAUGUUGAGAGUUUGGGACAGUUGACAAAACGCUCCCGAGUGUUCUACAGAUGAAUGAUGGUGAUGACUGCAUCAGUGUGAAUGUCCUUAAUGCCAUCAAAAAUUGGUUAUAAUGGCAAAUUUUAUGCUACAUAUGUUUUACUACAAUAAAAAUGCCAGGAAAAUCUAACUGCUCCAAAUCCUGAAUUUAUUAACCCAAUAAAUUAGGAGAUGGUUAUUGACCUAUAAAUGGAUUUGUCAAUUUUUAAAAUGAUUUCCUUUAAAUUGAAUUCUUUCCUAGAGCUUUAUUGUCUCUUCACAAACCAUUAAACACUUGUUAAAGUGUUCAGAGAGGGCUGAGAUGGAGGAGGAAGUGAAAACCAAACAAACAGAUGAGGGACCUUCCCCAAAUAAUGUCUGCUAACAGGCUUCUUGGGUAUUCUAUUUAUAUAGAUUUUACAAGUGUUUUAUUUGAGAGGAAAAAUCCCUAGACCUUACAUAGUACAAUGAACUUCUUAUGCCUGUCAGCUAGGUUUAUUAAUUUUUAACGAAGUGUAUUACUUUUAAAAGCUAUCUAUUUACUAUUGGGGGAGGGAGAAGGACAAAGGACAUCUUGCAGAAGUCUAGUCUCUCCUGCUAUGUGGGUUCUGGAGAUAGGAAAUCAGGCAGGUUGUCAGGCCUAGAAGCAAAGGCCUGUCUGCACUGAGCCAUCUUACUUGUCUUAUUUUGUUACUUUUGAUGACCUAUUUUAGACAUCACUAUUCUAUAGCCCUAAGUAUAACUUCAAGUAUGUAUCUUCCACAAGGACUUUAUGACCAUGAAAUCAAUUCAAGAAAUUUAACAUGUAUGCAGUUCUAUCCAGCGUACAUACAGAUUUCUCAUCCCCCCUUUUACUGUAGUUUAUAGAAAAAGCAAUUCUCUUCCAUAUCUAGAGUUUGACAAGGAAUAUGCAUUGCAUUUGGUUUCUGUGUUCUUUAAUCUCUUGUUGUACAGAACUUCAACCUUUCAUGACAGGUUGAACAAUUUUGGAUCAUACAGGCUGUCAUGGUUUGAAUAUGCUUGGCCCAGGGAGUGGUACUGUUAGGGGUGUGGUCUUCUUGGAAUAGGUGUGUCACCAUGGGCGUGGGCUUUAAGACCCUCAUCCUAGCUUCUGGAAGUCAGUCUUCCACUAGCAACCUUCAGAUGAAGAUGUAGAACUCUCAGCAUCUCCUGCACUAUACCUGCCUGGAUAUUGCCAUGUUCCUGCCUUGAUGAUUAUGGACUAAACCUCUGAACCUGUAAGCCAGCCCCAAUUAAAUUUGUCCUUAUAAG